rnacentral:rRNA from 1 species
AGACGUCUACAUUAGAUACCCGCGUAGUCCCAGCCCUAAACGAUGCGCGUUAGGUGUAUCGGUGACCACGAGUCACCGAGGUGCCGAAGGGAAACCGUGAAACGUGCCGCCUGGGAAGUACGGUCGCAAGGCUGAAACUUAAAGGAAUUGGCGGGGAGCACCACAACGGGUGGAGCCUGCGGUUUAAUUGGACUCAACGCCGGGAAGCUCACCGGAUAAGACAGCGGAAUGAUUGCCGGGCUGAAGACCCUGCAUGACCAGCUG